CACACCACACCUAGUGUGUGCGUGUGUGAGGUCGACCAGGAGAAAGCUCAGGGAGCUCAAACCCUAACUUCCACAACUUGAUCAAAUUGAAGCCCAAAUCAAGAGCCAAAUCACUGCAUGAAUACAAAUUCGUGAUCACCUAAUCAUGGGGAUUACAAGUUUGACGCUCAACGAGCUAGGUGAAAGGCUUGGGAAAGGAAGCGGGUCAAACGAAUCAAGAAUGAAGGAAAAAGCAUAACUCGGAUGCAAGGUACUCUAUGGAAUGCCGGAAGACGAUCAAGCUCAAUGAAGAACCGAACACGAUAAAGAUACACGCUUCCGCACUUUGCAUCGUCAUUAAUUUUUAAACGAUGAAUCUGAUCACGUUAUGUCAAAUGACUUAUGAUUUGUAAAAGUUUUAAUUUACUCGGAAUUUCCUAAUGAUACUUAACACUAAAUACAUGUCGGUAUUCGUAAUUU